rnacentral:tRNA from 2 species
GCCGCAAUAGCUCAGCUGGUAGAGCACGUCAUUCGUAAUGAUGGGGUCGGGAGUUCGAAUCUCUCUUGCGGCACCA